rnacentral:rRNA from 1 species
AGAGUUUGAUCAUGGCUCAGAAUCAACGCUGGCGGCGUGCCUAAUACAUGGCAAGUCGGACGCGAGGACCCCGCAAGGGGUUGGUAGCGUGGCAAACGGGUGAGUAACGCGUGGGCGACCUGCCUUCGAGUGGGGGAUAACCUCCCGAAAGGGGGGCUAAUACCGCAUAACAUGCUCUGUUUGGAUACAGGGACAUCAAAGCCGGGGACCGCAAGGCCUGGCGCUUGAAGAGGGGCCUACGUCCGAUUAGCUAGUUGGUGGGGUAAUGGCCUACCAAGGCGACGAUCGGUAGCCGGCCUGAGAGGGCGGACGGCCACACUGGGACUGAGACACGGCCCAGACUCCUACGGGAGGCAGCAGUAGGGAAUUGUUCGCAAUGGGCGCAAGCCUGACGACGCAACGCCGCGUGGAGGAUGAAGACCCUCGGGUCGUAAACUCCUUUCGACCGAGAUGAACAUCCAUGGGGCUAAUACCCCCGUGGACUGACAGUAUCGGGAGAAGAAGCCCCGGCUAACUCCGUGCCAGCAGCCGCGGUA